AGUCGAGCGAAUCUUUAGGAGCUUGCUCCUAUUGGUUAGCGGCGGACGGGUGAGUAACACGUGGGCAACCUACCUAUAAGACUGGGAUAACUUCGGGAAACCGUAGCUAAUACCGGAUAAUCCAUUUCCUCUCAUGUGGAAAUGCUGAAAGACGGUUUACGCUGUCACUUAUAGAUGGGCCCGCGGCGCAUUAGCUAGUUGGUGAGGUAACGGCUCACCAAGGCAACGAUGCGUAGCCGACCUGAGAGGGUGAUCGGCCACACUGGGACUGAGACACGGCCCAGACUCCUACGGGAGGCAGCAGUAGGGAAUCUUCCACAAUGGACGAAAGUCUGAUGGAGCAACGCCGCGUGAGCGAUGAAGGCCUUCGGGUCGUAAAGCUCUGUUGUUAGAGAAGAACAAGUACCGGAGUAACUGCCGGUACCAUGACGGUACCUAACCAGAAAGCCACGGCUAACUACGUGCCAGCAGCCGCGGUAAUACGUAGGUGGCAAGCGUUGUCCGGAAUUAUUGGGGCGUAAAGCGCGCGCAGGCGGUCCUUUAAGUCUGAUGUGAAAGCCCCACGGCUCAACCGUGGGAGGGGUCAUUGGAAACUGGGGGACUUGAGUGCAGAAGAGGAAAGCGGAAUUCCCACGUGUAGCGGUGAAAUGCGUAGAAAUGGGGAGGAACACCAGUGGCGAAGGCGGCUUUCUGGUCUGUAACUGACGCUGAGGCGCGAAAGCGUGGGGAGCAAACAGGAUUAGAUACCCCUGGUAGUCCACGCUGUAAACGAUGAGUGCUAAUGGUUUUUAGGGGGGUUUCCGCCCCCUUAGGGCUGCAGCUAACGCAUUAAGCACUCGCCUGGGGGGGAGUACGGCCGCAAGGC
rnacentral:rRNA from 1 species